UGUUGGCUGUAAGUUUGUCAUAUUAUGGUA
rnacentral:piRNA from 1 species